GCAAGUCGAGCGCUUUCCUUCGGGAAGGAGCGGCGGACGGGUGAGUAACGCGUGGGAACGUGCCCUUUUCUCCGGAAUAGCCUCGGGAAACUGAGAUUAAUGCCGGAUACGCCCUUUUGGGGAAAGAUUUAUCGGAGAAGGAUCGGCCCGCGUUGGAUUAGAUAGUUGGUGGGGUAACGGCCUACCAAGUCUACGAUCCAUAGCUGGUUUGAGAGGAUGAUC
rnacentral:rRNA from 1 species